UGGGAGACUCAUUCAGCUCCUAAUAAUCAGGGAACUGAGAAGUGCCACAGGCCUGUCUUUUGAAAGGAGCUCUGAAUCCAUUAAGAGACUCUGCUAUGCUUUUGCAUCACUUAAAUUUUUGGGAUCCAGCUUCUAUUGGGGAACAUCUUUAUGAUGAGCAAAGAGUGGCUCAGAGAAGCCUUUCCCAUGGUCACCCAGCUGCAGGUGCUCAUUUGGUUGCUCUCCCCUGGAUGGUCUCCAGCUGGUCAAUGUCCUUCCUAAAAUGUGGCACCCAGGACUGAACACAUACUCUGGGUAUGAUCUCACCAGAGUUAGGUACAUUGGGUCAAUCACCUCUUUAGUUUAGAUACUGUGACUUUCUUAAUGCAACAAUAUUAUAAAAAUAAACUGGAAUUUCUGAUCAU